rnacentral:rRNA from 1 species
GUUCAAAGCAGGCAGAUCCAAUUUUCUGCCACCGAAUACAUUUAGCAUGGGAUAAUGGAAUAGGACCCUGUCAUGCUAUUUUCCGUUGGUUUGCCGCGAGGACCAGGGUAAUGAUUAAUAGGGAUAGUUGGGGGCAUUAAUAUUUAAUUGUCAGAGGUGAAAUUCUUGGAUUUAUGAAAGAUUAACUUCUGCGAAAGCAUCUGCCAAGGAUGUUUUCAUUAAUCAAGAACGAAAGUUAGGGGAUCGAAGACGAUCAGAUACCGUCGUAGUCUUAACCAUAAACGAUGCCGACCAGCGAUUAUGAGACGUUGAAUACAAAACACCACCAUGUGAUUGCGCUCAUAAUUUGUGCCAACAAC